GAGAGAUUACUGUCACAUUGAAAGAUGAAGAGGAGGAGAUAGGAGAUCUGAUUAACACCAAUAUGCAGCUGACAUUUCCACCUGGAUGACAUCACAUAAUCAGCAACACGGAGAUGCUCUUCAUCCGAGGGAAUGCCUGCAUUGUUACAUCAUUUACAUUCCAGCCCUAAGGAAUACCUGCUCAUUCUCAUUGUUACAUCAUUUACAUUCCAGCCCUAAGGAAUACCUGCUCAUUCUCAUUGUUACAUCAUUUACAUUCCAGCCCUAAGGAAUACCUGCUCAUUCUCAUUGUUACAUCAUUUACAUACCAGCCCUAAAGAAUACCUGCUCAUUCUCAUUGUUACAUCAUUUACAUUCCAGCCCUAAGGAAUACCUGCUCAUUCUCAUUGUUACAUCAUUUACAUUCCAGCCCUAAGGAAUACCUGCCCAUUCUCAUUGUUACAUCAUCCCAGAUGAUCACAUGUCAUUUACAUUCCAGCCCUUGUCAGCUCCAGAUUUGACUAUUUCAACUCUCACCCUGCUGGAAUCCCUGCAUUCUCAGAUUCCCGUCCACUGAUUAGCACCCUGGACAGGCUCCCUACUGCACCUCACAUUAUGUUCAGGAUUCUAAUUCUAGCCUACAGGGCCAGAAAAUGACCAGCCCCUUCAUACCUCUCGGCCUGGAUAAAGUGCUGUACUGUUGUUCUUUCUCUGUGAUCUACAGUUGAGUCAUUCUUGAAGUCGUCUUCUCUUUCAGGAUUCAGUGGACAACCACCAAGACUUGGCUGUGUGCUGUUGCCUAAUUGGUUGAAUGAGUUGAGCUGCAGACAUCAUAACUGCAAAGUCCCUUGUUGUUUGUAAAUGCUGAUUAUAUAACCACCUAUUCAAAAAGCACUUUGAUACUGAUUUACUUUUGUACUAGGAAUACACUUCUCCCUGUUGCUCUAUGUUUAUAAUACAAACAUGUUGUUGUGCUUUUACUCUCGCAGUGAACAGGUUAGGUAGCAGUUUUCUACUGAUCAUACUGCAUAUAAUAUACUGUAUAUGUUACAUUUUAGAAUAUGGAAGAUUCCAUCAUGUAAUACGACAUCUACCAUAACAUGUAUUUAUGGUUUCAGCAUAUACUGUACAAAUUGAUAACUUUAAAAUAAAUCUGAUUUGCUAAAGGUA